rnacentral:rRNA from 1 species
CCUACGGGUGGCAGCAGUGAGGAAUAUUGGUCAAUGGGCGUAAGCCUGAACCAGCCAAGUCGCGUGAGGGAUGAAGGCUCUAUGGAUCGUAAACUUCUUUUAUAAGGGAAUAAAGUGCGGGACGUGUCCCGUAUUGUAUGUACCUUAUGAAUAAGGAUCGGCUAACUCCGUGCCAGCAGCCGCGGUAAUACGGAGGAUCCGAGCGUUAUCCGGAUUUAUUGGGUUUAAAGGGAGCGUAGGCGGCCUUUCAAGUCAGCGGUGAAAGUCUGUGGCUCAACCAUGGAACUGCCGUUGAAACUGGGGGGCUUGAGUAUGUUUGAGGCAGGCGGAAUGCGUGGUGUAGCGGUGAAAUGCUUAGAUAUCACGCAGAACCCCGAUGGCGAAGGCAGCCUGC